GGCAAUGCCAUCUCUUGCUGUAUUGUUCAACAGCACAAUGCUGCGCUUGCCAGCUGCCAAAGACAUAUUUAAGUUUUCUUUACUGAAAUACUGCCUGAGAAAUGUUCCCAUGGCUCUUUGAGUUUGUUUCAUUUUUCCAUGUUAAAUUUGGUAGCAAUCUAAUCUACAGGUACUUGAGACAGAUGCCACAUAUGAUUUGUGAGCACAAAAGGUUCACAAAGGAUUAAGAUGAGCUCAGCUGUUCUGGUCUUCCCUCCAACCCUUAAACUCAGUAGAUGCACCUCAGCCUGAAAGACCGGACAAAGGAAUUAAGCUACAGCCUCCUCAUUCAAAUAGAUCAGUGGCACUGCACAGGAUACUAACAUACUGCAUAAAGGUAAAUUCCAAAUAUUCACUUUUAGAAAUACAUCUGACAUCUUUAUUGCUCUGGCUAGGCUGCCUCUCCCCCUUUUCGCUUCACCUCAGUACUUUUAUUUUCCUAUAACAGGACAUAAUGAAGCUGUUUUUUCCAAACGCUGUCACUUCCCAGCAGCUUCCUCCUCUUUGCUCCCGUUCCCACCCAAGCCUCUGAGUUCCCAACCCAGGCUCAUCCCAUGUACAUUUCCAAGGCACCUUCUCCAGCAACAAGACCUUCUGCCCACUUCCACCACUGGUUAUACCUUCUCCAAGCUACAGUGGGAAGCUGCCCGCUGGGAAAGGCACAUGGCAGGGUACUGGCAGACACAUCACUACAGGCAUAGCCAAAAAGCUUCUGCCCUCUCAGGGAAGCUGGCAGUGAAGGCAGCAGCCACCCCAGUGCCUUCCAUGAAGGAGCAACCCUUCUAAAGACGUAUCUGCGCACUGAGGACUAAAAGGGCACCCGUGGAAAUCAAGAAGGAAGCCCUGCCCUCUCACUCCUCCACCUCUCCUCGCUUCACAGUGGUGACUGACUUCAGCUGGGUCUCUUCCCAACAGCAAGCACCAUCCCUCAUCCGCCAGCUGAGGAGAAGAGGGCUGCCAAGGCAAUGGAGCACGGAGCCAAAAAUAAUGAUUUUUAAACUGCCUUAGCUGAAAAACAAGGGAACCGCCUCUCCCUUUGCUAGUUUAGAGCAGUGACUGAUACAGUUGAAGAGUACCAGAGUAACUUCCCGAUGCAGCUGGUGGUGGCUGCCUGGGCUGGUUUUAGCUGGUCACCCCUUCUGCUCCAGCCUCGCCACCGAGGACACGGGCAGGGAGUGGAGGGAACCUGCUCUAAAAGCAGCAGAGAUAUGCAAAGCCUCCAAAGCUGCCCCAGUUUACUGUCAGCUGAAGUCUCUCUGCCAGGUGUCACAGUCCUCCGAAGCCAGCUGUGACAACCACAGUGUGUCCUGGGGACACAGGUGGGCUUGUGCAUGCUGGAGCUGAGGGCAGACGGCAGGACUCAGGCAGGGGUCCUGUCUAACAUGAACUGACAGCAGCUCAAUGCGCCCUGUCAUCCCCCCUCAGCAAUGCUCAGUCCCCCCAAAGCCAGAGUCUGAACUUCCUCAGAUGUCUCCCUUCUGCCCUGGGAUGCAGCUGGGGAGGGAGCUGCAGGGAAGGAAAUGGUAGGAGACUUUUCUCCCCUGUCUCUCUCCUAGCUAAAUCUGCCACUGAUCCAACAUGGUCUCAGUAGCUUCUCUCCUUCUGGUUCAUCCCUCAGUGGCUGAGAAGCACCACUCCAAUCUGUGGCAUGUUGCCCCCAGAACCUAACAAAAGAGGAUGACAUCAAGGCUCGAGGACAAACAAACAACAGUGCCCCAAGGUUCAAGCAAAGACAGCUUUGGGCCCAACACAGCAUUAACGCUGCAAGCCAUUAAUCGGCUCUCAGGACUCCCCCUCUACAACACAGCCAACAUAAAGAUGCUUGGAGAGCAGCAAGCUAGUGCAGAUGACUUGGAAAAAUGAUGAAGGAAGCAGCUGUGCUACCCAACACUAUGGUCAGUGAUUUAACAGAUUAAUCAACUGCUGCCCAAACCAAAAAGCUGAAUAAGCUGAGUUCCCCUUGCCUCCAACAAGGCUGCAGGGUCGCUGUCAGGGCGGGAGAUGCCACACGCUUCUCAAGUAUGGAAAUGAAACCCUGGCUGAAGAUCACCACCGGUCCGCACAGACCUUAAAAUAGACUCUUCAUCUCACCUCACGCAGAUCUCAAGUAUGCUCUUGCACAGAAUCCUUCCAGUGACACCGGGUCACAGUGCGCAACACUGACAGUUAAUCAGCCAACAGGUUCAACACUUAGCGAGCCAUUGCCUCCAGACACAGCCACACGGGUGGACUCACCCCAAUUUUUGUUAGUUUAUUAUUGUGGGCAAAUAAUGCAAACUUAACGUAAAUUUCUAAGUAUUGAUAUAGUGUAGCUAAUCCUGGCAUGCAGCUGUCAGAAAUUUCCAAACGUAUUUUGCAAGAUAGUAGGGGAUCUUGGAAAAGUUCACAAGUAAUUUAUAAGCAGGAGUGUGAUAAGACAAAACAAAAAACUUACAGACAUCAACUGUUCAUAAACCCUUAUGCAGAAACCUACUCUCAUCAAUUUCAGAGGGAAAGAAGUGACUGAAGCAUCUCCAGUGGUGAAGCCCGGUUGGUUUGAGGGAAUGAGAGCACCUGUUUUUAAUUUUUCAGAAGGAACCUCCUCUCCUAAAUCACUUAUGCUUCAUUUGAAAAUCUCACCAAUUUAAACCAGGGUGACAGCAAAACUCCUAUACAUCAGCAGCAGACUACCCAUUUCUGGCACCUAUAAAAUACAUUUAUUGUUAUUAAGAUGCUAUUUCCCUACCUAACUGCAGACUUUCCCUCCCAUUUAUGACAGUAUGAGUAGUCAUGUAGCAAGCUGGUUCAGGGAACUCACUGGGUGAGUUUUUAAACAGUAUUCUUUUCCCCCUGCGUUUGUGAUGAGCUCAUGGUAACAGAAGUCUGGCCUUUACCUGCUUUUGAAAAAUUCCAUUUAGUCUGAUGGAAGCAAACCUAAGUAUUACUAUAAAAGCAAUUUAGCUUGACAAUACUUUUACCACUGGAAAUCAAGAGAAGUGCAUACAGGGCCAGAGGAAUUAAAUACCAUCAGGAUGAGAACCUAGUUCUCUGGCUGGAACAUCACAGGCUUCUAGCUAAAAAAAGGCAUGAGCUUGCAGCCUACGUGGUAGCUGCACAGAGAUAUUAUUUUUAACCUGUUGAUCAGUGCAAGCAUUUUUUGCACAACAUGUUUGUAACAGCCAAUGAUACAACUUAUACACUUACUAUUAAAGACAGUGCAUAAAUAAAUGUUGUCUGGUACACGUAAAGCAAGGAAAUACUUC